CCUGGGGGUAGUCUGCCUUGGGAAAGUCCCAUAGUGUCCUGCCUUGUUCAACUUAAAGUAGCCUCCUCUCCCACCUUGCAUCCCUUGAAAUACUUGAAGAGAGCCACUAGGUUCCACUCUAUGUCUGUUCAUUUUCAUGUGACACACCCUCUGGCCCUCAGUGAAUCAUUUGCAUAAAGUGGUUUCUAGACUCUUCAUCACGAAACCUGGUUCCUGAAUCGAUGCUAGUUGGCUGACAGUUGCUACUGGGAACCCUAUAUACAUAGGAUACAAUGCUUCCUGCAACUGAAAGCACCUUCCUGCACAUAAGAACCUUCUAUUCCUUCAUUCAUGGGUAAGAAUCCCCUCUGCAAACAUGGUGACCAGGAGCUGGGAAACAGAUCCCCGGGUCCCGGAGACAGCGGCUACACCGCACAGGGCAGACGACCCGACUCCGACUGAACAGGUACGGCUGAAAGAGACCUCACGUGCCCUGGGUGGCACUGCACUGACCGACAGCUCUCAUCCCACAUUUGCCUGAACCCAGAGAAUGACAACGCCAAGAGCGAGCCCUGCUGCAGACCGUGGACUCUGGUCGUCUGGGUAGGUUCUGAGUGUGUGUGUGUGUGGGGGGGGCGUUGGUAAUGGGGAGACUGUGCGAGCGGGGACAUGGGUGGACUUUAUUGGGAACCCCUGGACUUUCCUGUCCAUGUUGCUGUGAACCUUCAACUGCACCAAAAACUAAAAUCUAUUAAAAAAUACGUUAUAACCGCCACUUAGGAUAAUGCAGAUUUUCUUGCUCUUUCCAGAACCUCCAGAGACAGCUGUAAGAAAAUGAAUUGACUUUUGCUCAAAACACAGAAAUCCUCAGAACCAAAAAUAAUCCCAGGAAGGAAAUAAAAUACAAGACACGCAGAAUUCCGCA
rnacentral:lncRNA from 1 species